rnacentral:misc_RNA from 1 species
AAAGUCGUAACAAGGUUUCCGUAGGUGAACCUGCGGAAGGAUCAUUACAAAUCCAAUGUCUCACUUGAGACCACGUUGAAAUGUUCCCCAGGCCAAGGAAGGGAGUCACGGACUAGCUCUAUGACACCACUACUUGACUGGGCUGUUAAACUAGUUAUUUUUGUUGCUCAGAUGUAUUUUGAUUUCAAUCAAACGAAAACAAUUACAACUUAUAACAAUGGAUCUCUAGGCUCUU